rnacentral:rRNA from 1 species
UAUCUCUGUAGAGUCUGCAUAUCAAUAAGCGGAGGAAAAGAAACUAACUAAGGAUUCCCUCAGUAACGGCGAGUGAAGCGGGAAGAGCUCAAAUUUGAAAUCUUCAAGGUUCUACCUUGACGAAUUGUAGUUUAAAGAAGUGUUUUCUGUUAGAUGAGUAGCAAAAGUUCCUUGGAAUGGGACAUCAUAGAGGGUGAGAAUCCCGUAUUUGGUUAUUCAUUCUAGCUUUGUGAUACACUUUCAAAGAGUCGGAUUGUUUGGGAAUGCAGUCCAAAAUGGGUGGUAAAUUUCAUCUAAAGCUAAAUACUGGCGAGAGACCGAUAGCGAACAAGUACCGUGAGGGAAAGAUGAAAAGAACUUUGAAAAGAGAGUUAAACAGUACGUGAAAUUGUCAAAAGGGAAGCGUUUGACACCAGUGUUGUUUUCUCGAAAAUCAAUUAAGAAUGGCAUGAUUUUGUGUUGUAUUGACCUUUAUCAGCUUUCUUCACUCUUUUUCGAUGUCUUUCUUAAUGCACUUUUCGGUUAACAAGUCAACAUCAAUUUCUUUUGUUGUAAGAGGGUCAUUGGAAGGUGGCUUUCUUUUCGGAGAAAGUGUUUAUAGCCUUUGGCCUCUGCAAUCGGAGAGAUUGAGGUCUGCAGCGUAGAUCCUUCGGGGUUAGAUACAUUUGUGCUAAGUUAUAGCCUUUCAUAGACAACUUGUUGACUAUGAUCAGUCAUGUAGCUUACUCGCUUAUGCUAUUUUACCUACGCUUAGGAUGUUGAAGAUGUAGCACAUCAU